rnacentral:ncRNA from 2 species
UACGGAGGGGGCAAGCGUUGUUCGGAAUUACUGGGCGUAAAGGGCGCGUAGGCGGACCUUCAAGUCAGGGGUGAAAGGCCUGGGCUCAACCUGGGAACUGCCUUUGAAACUGGAGGUCUUGAGUCCGGGAGAGGAUGGCGGAAUUCCCAGUGUAGAGGUGAAAUUCGUAGAUAUUGGGAAGAACACCGGUGGCGAAGGCGGCCAUCUGGUCCGGCACUGACGCUGAGGCGCGAAAGCGUGGGGAGCAAACAGG